rnacentral:tRNA from 1 species
GGAGCGGUAGUUCAGUUGGUUAGAAUUCCUGCCUGUCACGCAGGGGGUCGCGGGUUCGAGCCCCGUCCGUUCCGCCA